rfam:Heterocephalus glaber contig113135, whole genome shotgun sequence.
AGCCCAAGAGAACUCUUAAUUUAUUCCUUAAUCUUUGCUAUGCAAGAUUCUUUGAUAUUUUUAAAUGAUUGUUUUUUUCUUAAUGCU